GAUGAACGCUGGCGGCGUGCUUAACACAUGCAAGUCGAACGAAGCACUCUAUUUGAUUUUCUUCGGAGAUGAAGAUUUUGUGACUGAGUGGCGGACGGGUGAGUAACGCGUGGGUAACCUGCCUCAUACAGGGGGAUAACAGUUGGAAACGACUGCUAAUACCGCAUAAGCGCACGGUACUGCAUGGUACCGUGUGAAAAACUCCGGUGGUAUGAGAUGGACCCGCGUCUGAUUAGCUAGUUGGUGGGGUAACAGCCUACCAAGGCGACGAUCAGUAGCCGACCUGAGAGGGUGACCGGCCACAUUGGGACUGAGACACGGCCCAAACUCCUACGGGAGGCAGCAGUGGGGAAUAUUGCACAAUGGGGGAAACCCUGAUGCAGCGACGCCGCGUGAGCGAAGAAGUAUUUCGGUAUGUAAAGCUCUAUCAGCAGGGAAGAAAAAAUGACGGUACCUGACUAAGAAGCACCGGCUA
rnacentral:rRNA from 1 species